GCCCUACCAGCCCUGGGAAGACAGUAGUCAUUUGGAAAACUGAGGCAUGAUCGCACACCUGCCUUCAGAGAGACUGCUGUACAGACACUGAUUAUUAUUACUGAGAGGAAGGCAGGUCUUGCAUUUAAGUCAU
rnacentral:lncRNA from 1 species